rnacentral:rRNA from 1 species
UACAGAGGGGGCCAGCGUUAUUCGGAAUUAUUGGGCGUAAAGGGCGCGUAGGCGGCCAUGCGUGUCUUCCGUGAAAUCCCUCGGCUUAACUGAGGACGUGCGGAAGAAACUGCAAGGCUUGAGUCCGGGAGAGGGGGGUGGAAUUCCCAGUGUAGCGGUGAAAUGCGUAGAGAUCGGGAAGAACGCCGGCGGCGGAAAGCGAACUCUCUGGUCAACUUCUGACGCUGAGGCGGCGAAAGCUAGGGGAGCAAACAGG